UCUGAAUCUACAUGGUACUACUGUUCCCCCACAUUAUCAGACAGCAUAUUAAAUCUGAGCUGAUAACAUGCAAGAGAAAAGAGAAGAUGGCAAAAUUUGCCUAGGUUUAGCAUAAGCUCUGAUUUUCCAGCACACAAAAAUUCAUUGUUAGGAAAUUGAGCAAAGCACACCAGCCUCAUGGCACAAUUUGCUGAAGCAAAACUAAACUAACUGAGCUUCACACAACUGGGUCCGGCUUAUCCAUUUCCAGCAAAGCUGCAUGGCUUCAUGCUGCAUUUCUUCCUCUGAAUGUUAGUGCUGGUAUUUCCUGGUGGUUUAUUUCCUUCCUGUCUACCAUAGAGAGGUGCCAGUGAAAGCUUAGUUGCAGUGUGCAUGCACAGCACAAGAGUUAUCUCCUCCCAGCAGCAGAUCGUGUUCUUCACUUUGGUCAUAGGAAGCAUUAGGAAGAAUGUUAAAAUGUUAAAUUGUGAAGAUUUACAUCAACAUUUUUCUAUUAUAACCUUAUAUUUAUGCUAAUUGGAAAGUACUUGUAGUAUCAUGCUGGUCUUAUAGUACUACUACCCAUAAUCCAUUUUCAUUUUACAGCUUGGGAGGCACGUUGGCUGGAGUUGACUGAAUAGAUUUUUAUUAGGUACUGAAGAGCCUUCCUCUGGACUCACCUUGGUUGCCUCCCCUUCCUCGAUGAAUCUUUUCCUUUAAGUCACUUUAGGAAGCAGCAGGAAUUCUGCAAGAGAUGAGGAUUCUUGUCAGGAUGACACUGCUGAGGGUUCACAGUACAUCAACACAGCUGCUAUUUCUGUUGCCAGACAAUCCUCUACACAUUGUGAAUCUGUCAUGAGAAGAGGCCUUACCCCAUUGAUUAUCUUAGAAAACAGUUCUGCUGGCUUCAGAAACAUCAAAAUAAGGUUCUUUGUGCCUACAGGGCCUUGCAAACACCCUUUCCUUCCCUUUGGCCAGCGUGGGAACGUGAUCAUAAUAUCCAAUGACACACAGUACAGUAGCAUGUUGUUCUGCCUCCAAUAGAAGUGGUAUUUGAGAAAAGUCAAGGUCCACACAUGGAAACAUCAUUGAUAAAUCCAUUGAUAGAGCUUGAGAAACUAAGCAUCAUUUUGGGCUCAAAGCCAAUCACCUUUAGUGCAACUUUCUACAGCAAGGCAAGUCAAUGGACAUGCAGAAAAGAUUGAGGGUGUUGUGUGGAAACCACACAUGUUGCUACAUCUUAUAGGUUAAGAAUUUUCCAUCUCUAUAUGUUCCUUAAAGGGAAAGUUGGAUUUUGUGAGCAUAUUUUUUCCACAAAAAAAAAAAAAAAAAUCUGCUUUCUCUAGAAAAUUAGAGCUAUUCAUCAGACAGCCAAACACCUGCAAGCCAAAUAUUUCUGGCUGAAAGUAUUGAUCCUCUCAGGAGGAUGGGAGUUUGGUGCUUCAUUUCCAUGCACUUUGUUAGGGCCUCACAAGUGUCACAUUUUCAGUGUCUUGUGUGGCUGAGCUCGAGUGGGGACAGGAGCACACGUGACAGCAGCACUGCCAUGGAACAGAAUUUGGGUGUGAGCUGAUAUCCCACUCCACUCCUGCAAGGCCAGGAUCUGCCUGCAAGCAAGCCAGGGCAGUGGGGAUGCUCAAGGAUUUUGGGCUGGAAAAAAGCUCCAGGUUAAGCAGUCAUAUCUUCAAGUACCUAAACCUACCAUUUGCAUGGUUAGUGUUUUUUACUAUGAGUUUUCAGAUGGAACCUUUGUUACUUUACUGUUAUAAAAACAAAUCUUUUCAGAUUUUCCAAUUAAAAACAGAUCAAUAAGCUCAGAUAGUUUUUUGGGAAGUAAUGGGCCUGACUCUGCUCCAUUAAACUCAGAGACAUUAAUUGGGCAGUGGAUUACCUAGAACAGAAGCUUGGUAAUACUUGAAUUUAGAUAUAAGAAGGAAGUUUUUUGUAAUGAAGUAAAACAGUGGCAUGGAUUGCCCAGAGAGGUGCCCCAUCCCUGGAAACAAGCAAGGUCAGGUUGGAUGGGGCUCUGAGCAGCCUGGUUUGU
ensembl:lncRNA